rnacentral:lncRNA from 1 species
UUCCUAUAGUUUGUUAUCAUUUUUUCUAUUAACCGAUGAGGGACUUAAACUAUGAUAGUUGCGUUGUUUUUUCUUUUUUUAUAAAUGGGUGUGAUUUGGUCUCUUCUGUUCUGUCGUUCUUGUCGUUUGGUUUUUUUUUAAUAUGAACCCUAGUUUAGGAUUUUUUUCAACCUAGCUAAUUGUGCGUAUACAGGUUGAGCGCUACUGUUCAUCCUUGAAGUUUUGUGUUUACAUAUACGGAAAAUCUAUUUUCCUGCCGUACGACAUCUGCCCUUACGCGCGGACGCGCUACGCGCCGUCUGAUCUCCACCAAAGUUAUUUCACCCGUCUCCUUCCCCCAUAUCUUUCUACCUUUCAUCUCUUUCUUCCUUCCUAUGCGGUAUGACUAGGCUAGAGGAAAUCCCGCUUGCGGCCAUUUCUUCUUCUCCCCAAUGCCUUUCCUGCCUGUUGCAACCUUCACCCACAUCUCCUCUGCCCUCAAUCUCACCAGCCGCCAUAUCCCUUGGUGCUGCACUCCAAGAGGAGCAUACGGAGGCCGAAGCGGAGGAGCUGGCGCACGGCUGCGAGACCUGCGCUGCGAGGCGGCACCACCAA